GCUCUCCUCUCCUGCUAAGCUUUGUUUCCUGUUGAACAAUAUGGAAUAAAGUUGUUAAUCUAAACAUAUUAAGACUCAAGGCUACAAUCCAAUAGCAAGUUUUGUUUCCCACAAAUUUUGCUGAUCUGAAUAUUAACUUAAUAUCCACAAUUUUACUGCAAUUAUAAUGUUAACUAUGUUGCACUGCUCAGCUAUAUUAGGGUUACUGGAUUCAUCAUCAUUUAUAAAAGUUAACUUCAAACAUAAAAAGAUGUUUACUUACCUGGCAGUAAUUAAAACCUUCUGCCACUGCCAUAGCUACUGCUGCUGCUGGAACCGCCAUAGCCACCUAAGAAUAGAAUAUGUCCCUUUAAGCUUUGGAAGCACAAAUAGAAACACUUUUUGUAUCAGGGGCAAUAAAGCCUCAGAUCUGAGUUCGGGCGCACAUGAUUUUCCCAAUCUGAUUAAGUUCUUGAAAAGCUUUUAGAUUGUAGCUUUUCACGGUCUACACACACCUCACCCCAAAAUUACUGGACCUGGUUAUGGGUACCUCACCCUCUAAUAAACAUACAUACAAUACCUUGGUUUCGUGGUUUGGCAAAGUAUUGGCCUCCACCACCAUAGGGGCCAGAGCUUCUGCCUCCAAAAUUUCCUCCUUUCAUGGGUCCAAAAUUUGAAGAUUGAUUGUUGUAAUUGCCAAAAUCAUUAUAGCUUCCACCACCUCCAAAGUUGCUUCCUAGAAAUGGAAAGAGGACCUUUAUUUGUUAUUUGGAGAAGAUGGUUAAGUUCUGAAUUCUAUUUAGUGCUCAGAGCAAAAAAUGUUGCAUGAUCUGCUUGCCUUCCUCCCAAACUCUGGUGGCUCCAAUCAUCCUUUUCUGGGCAAGGCACUCAGUUGAAUAACUCAAUACUUUUAAUAAAAUUUACCCAACUUACCAUGGCAUAAUAGCAAUAUAUUCUCUAGGCUUGAAGGUCUGUGCCCAUCCGGGGCACUGCAAACACAUGCUGGAUGUAACAACUAAGUGCCUAGGAUCCCAAGGGAGUUAAGACAACUAAAUCCUGCUGGAAGCUAAUCUAAUUCUGAUUAAAGACAGGACUAUCCACUUAUCCAUCUAUCUUAUUUGGGAGUGAGGCGGCCCCAGCUUAAAGCUAGGAGGUAGCAUUAGCAAGCCCGUUAAAAAAGAACACCAUGCAUUGCACCACAUAAUGCUUUUUAAGAGCAUCAAAUCCCCUUAUGAUCAUAAACUCUAAAGAGCUAAUCUAACUAUUGCACCAAGUACUUGGAUCACUGGAUACCUACCACUACCACCGCCAAAGCCGCCUCCGCCUCCUCCGUUGUUAUAGCUGUCAUAGCUGCCACUCCCGCCAUAGCCACUGCCCUGGUUUCCAUAACCCUGUCCACCACUUCCAUAGCCUCUGCUUCCUCCAGAGUAACCAGGGCCGCCUCCUCCAUAACCACCUACAAGAAUACAAUUCUUCUCAAUAAGACAAAAGUAUUCAACAAUCAAAACCUGUGCAAGUGUAACACCUAAAAGCCUGCUCACAGCAUGCGGUUACGGUCAGAGCUGAGCUGGUCAUGCACUACUUUAGCUCUACUACCCUACUCUAGAGAUUCCAAAACAAACUUUUCACCUACGUACCCAAGAUAAACUUACCAUCGUUACCAAAUCCGUUAUAGCCAUCCCCACUGCCACCAUAUCCACCACCACCUCGACUGCCGCCAAAGCCACCUGGAAAAAAGUAGAGUUUCAACCACUUUCUGAGGUGUAUUGGCUGCAUACAAGUUAUACCCUUCCUAAAUUCAAGUUUUCUGAAACCCCCCCUGGGUCACAAAAAUGAUUUCUAUACGGAAGACUUAACCCUCCAGUAAGAAGCCACAACACCUGGAUAAAAAUUAACUUUGGAAAAGCUGGCCCAUAGGUACAUCCACCAUAGGUUACAAGUGGACAAGUUAUCUGGGGAUUGUCAAACGACAAGCUUACUAUUAAUUUUCAGCAAACUAUAUAUAACCACACGUACCUCGCCCACUGAAGUUUCCUCCUCGGCCAAAGUUGUCAUUCCCACCAAAACCACCUCCACGACCACCACCGAAGUUCCCAGAACCACUUCGACCUUGAAAGAGAAGUUUGAGGUGUUAAACCUACAGAUUCGAAUGACUUCGUUGCCUGUAAGAUCUAAUUAAACAAACUCACCUCUUUGGCUGGAAGAAGCACUAGCCAUCUCUUGCUUAGAUAAAGCUUUCCUUACUUCACAGUUGUGGCCGUUCACAGUAUGGUAUUUUUGAACUAAAAAAAAUUUCAAAGAGAACACAAUCUCAAAAGACUAGAAUACAGCACGGGUUUCAGAAACCUUAGCGAGUUGCAUGCCCCGGAGACUUACUGACAAUCUUGUCUACAGAGUCAUGGUCAUCAAAGGUCACAAAAGCAAAGCCUCUCUUUUUGCCACUGCCUCGGUCAGUCAUGAUUUCAAUCACUUCAAUUUUCCCAUACUGUUCAAAAUAAUCUCUUAGAUGAUGUUCUUCAGUGUCUUCUUUAAUGCCACCGACAAAAAUCUUUUUCACAGUUAAAUGGGCACCAGGUCUUUGAGAAUCCUAAUGAAAAAGCCCAAUUAAUUUACUUCCCAAUAAAACUAUCCUUAAUCAAGAUCAUUAAGAAGUUUAACAUCCCCAAACGCAAAGUCCGCUUAGUGGCACACUUUUAAAUAACCGCGAAAAGAACUAGAUCACUCACUUCUCUCGAGACAGCCCUCUUUGGUUCCACAACUCUUCCAUCCACCUUGUGUGGCCUUGCAUUCAUGGCUGCAUCCACCUCUUCCACAGUGGCAUAGGUGACAAACCCAAAGCCUCUGGAGCGCUUGGUGUUUGGAUCUCUCAUUACCUGAAACGUUAAUAAAAUUUACUACAUAAUAAAACCCCAGAGACUACUGUCAUUUCUACCAUGAGUAAAUACAAGGCCCUUCAGUUUCCCACUAAAUUAACAAGGGAGCCUCUAAUCAGCUAAAGCCACACCUUCCCUUGCCAGGUUAUUUUCAACUAUAAUCCCGUUAACAAUCUUCACAAGUAAUCACAACAAGAUAAUCCAAAGAAAUCAACUAGUCCUACUGGCCUUUUGUCUCUUCUAAGUCUUACCACACAGUCCGUAAGCGUUCCCCAUUGCUCAAAAUGGCUCCUCAGACUCUCAUCGGUUGUUUCAAAGCUCAAACCUCCAAUGAAAAGCUUCCGCAGCUGUUCAGGCUCUUUGGGAGACUAGGAGUCGGGGAAAAAAAUCAUUACGUGGGGGGGUUACAACACAAAAAAGCUUCCAGUUAGGAGAAGCAAAGCUACACGACAAUGAUACAUAGCACUUAUUGUUCCUUUGGGUCGCCGCAAGCCACGUGCUUCUCCCCAUUAGGGGAGACGAUAUGUUGGGGGCUGGGAAGCCCCGAGCGCAUGCGUCCCAACUCUCCCUCCGACGCACGCGCAACAAAAGGACGGAGCUGCAAGAAUACAGAGCCAAUAGAGAACUACAUCUGCUCCUAAGAAAAUCGUCCCGAUACAAGGUGAAAAAAUAAAACGAAACAAAACAAUCGAAUAUGCAUAAGGGUUUGCCAGGAGGAACAAGCCCGGAGUGAAAACCAAGUGUUGCAAGACGGCGGCCUCAUGGCGACGACGAGGACAAAAUGGCGACCCGAACUUUGGGAGGGGUAGGCCCUUGGCAGCAACGGGAAGAAAUGCCGAGCCAGAGCUGGCGCAAGCAGCCAAACCAAACCACAUCCUACCGAAUUCAGUAACGGCGAGAAAGAAAAUUAGGCCGAAGAGAGCGGGUUACUCACCUCUGACUUAGACAUGACGGCGGUGGGAGGGGAGACUUUCACGAUGCUUACUCGGCGGCGUCCACGGGCAGAAAG
rnacentral:lncRNA from 1 species